GGUAUGUUCACAGGGUUGGAGUUGUAAACUCGGUAAUGAUUCUCUCGUGAGUGUGGCCUGCGGAGGGAUCAUUACCGAGUUUACAACUCCCAAACCCCUGUGAACAUACCAAUUGUUGCCUCGGCGGAUCAGCCCGCUCCCGGUAAAACGGGACGGCCCGCCAGAGGACCCCUAAACUCUGUUUCUAUAUGUAACUUCUGAGUAAAACCAUAAAUAAAUCAAAACUUUCAACAACGGAUCUCUUGGUUCUGGCAUCGAUGAAGAACGCAGCAAAAUGCGAUAAGUAAUGUGAAUUGCAGAAUUCAGUGAAUCAUCGAAUCUUUGAACGCACAUUGCGCCCGCCAGUAUUCUGGCGGGCAUGCCUGUUCGAGCGUCAUUUCAACCCUCAAGCCCAGCUUGGUGUUGGGACUCGCGAGUCAAAUCGCGUUCCCCAAAUUGAUUGGCGGUCACGUCGAGCUUCCAUAGCGUAGUAGUAAAACCCUCGUUACUGGUAAUCGUCGCGGCCACGCCGUUAAACCCCAACUUCUGAAUGUUGACCUCGGAUCAGGUAGAUCCG
rnacentral:rRNA from 1 species